AAAAAUGAGGACAACAAAGUUCGCAAAUGAGUGGUCCACAGGCUGCAUCUGCCCUGCAGAAGUGUUUCAUUUGGCUUAUAAGAUGAAUUGGUUGCAAAUGUUGAAAAACUGAAAAGAUUUCACACACGACUCUGGAUUUCUAGCUUCUUCUGAAAAUACAGUCAAGCUGGUUCCUCCCCCACCUCUUCUCGGUCCCCCUGGAACGCCAUCCCCACAGCUCCGCCAGCCCUACCUCAUGAACUUCUCCAUGACCUCCUCCACCCACAUCUGCAGCCUCAGGAAGCUGAUGCCGUAGUGCCACCAGAGGCGGAAGAGGUUCAGCAGGUACCAGUCAGUCUCCUCCAGCACGAAGUGCUCCCCGCCGAAGAUGGCGCUCCUGCCCACCACCUCGCGCCGGUGCCUCAGCCCUGCAGAGACAAAGAGGAGCCCCUCAGGUCCCCUCCAAGGCUUGGGGCCCUCUUGAUGCAAAUGGACUGGUCCAUUAAAGGAAACACAAAUGCUA